GACAGAGGUGCCGAGCGUUAGGCGGAAUCACUGGGCUUAAAGCGUGUGUAGGCGGGCGGGCAAGUACCUUGUGAAAUCCCACGGCUCAACCGUGGAACGGCUGGGUAUACUGCCUGUCUUGAGCCAACUAGGGGCGAGCGGAACAGACGGUGGAGCGGUGAAAUGCGUAGAUAUCGUCUGGAACGCCAAAGGUGAAAACAGCUCGCUGGGGUUGUGCUGACGCUGAGACACGUAAGCCAGGGGAGCGAACGGG
rnacentral:rRNA from 1 species